rnacentral:ncRNA from 19 species
CUACAGUUGCAUGACUGGCGGAUUUUUGUGGAGCACCACAAAGGAUUGUAACUGUUUUUUAAGCCGACCGCCUGGGCAAUACAC